AACGAACGCUGGCGGCAGGCCUAACACAUGCAAGUCGAGCGAGGACUUCGGUCCUAGCGGCGGACGGGUGAGUAACGCGUGGGAACGUGCCCUUUGCUUCGGAAUAGCCCUGGGAAACUGGGAGUAAUACCGGAUGAGCCCUUUGGGGGAAAGAUUUAUCGGCGAAGGAUCGGCCCGCGUUGGAUUAGGUAGUUGGUGGGGUAAUGGCCUACCAAGCCGACGAUCCAUAGCUGGUUUGAGAGGAUGAUCUGCCACACUGGGACUGAGACACGGCCCAGACUCCUACGGGAGGCAGCAGUGGGGAAUCUUAGACAAUGGGGGAAACCCUGAUCUAGCCAUGCCGCGUGAGCGAUGAAGGCCUUAGGGUUGUAAAGCUCUUUCAGCUGGGAAGAUAAUGACGGUACCAGCAGAAGAAGCCCCGGCUAACUCCGUG
rnacentral:rRNA from 1 species